UGUUUUUUCCUAUGUGUAGUCUUUUAUUUUAAGGUUAGGUUACUUUUUAUAUGAUUAAUCUAGACUUUUUUGUUUAACACUGUAACAAGUAACGUUAACUAUAUUUCAUUCUUUAAAUGAAAUGCUCAGUUUCAUCCUGGAACAAUCAACCUGUCAGAGUUGUGCCUGAUUCUGCAACUGUAGCUCCAUCAGUGUCUCUGAAGAGACCGAAUUUGCUCGCUUCGUUACCUGAAGAAAAUGUUCAAUCACAAGGCCAGCAGUGUUCAGAGGAGGGUCACGUUUCUGAAUUUCGUCCUGAAUCAUCAAGUAGUGGACAAGAGAACCCAGUGCAAGCAUUUUUUAUAUGUGUGCUGCACAGCUUUGAUAUUUAUGUGUACUAUCUAUAUAAAAAGUGUAGUAAUUGAUUGAAUAUUAAUUAUUUAUUUAAACUUGACUUCAGUAUGUUUGGCAUUAUUACAUGAUUAGACUUUAGACUAGUUUUUCAUAUUUCUUCAGGCAGCGGACCACAUCAACAUUAAAACAACAAUUCUAGACAACCGAACACCAAAAGUACCUCAUUUGUAAGAUUGAUUAGACACUUAGUUUAUAUCCUAUAUUUUGAAAUAGCCUCACUUUUUCCAACCAGUCCCUUUUC